GAGUUUGAUCUUGGCUCAGAACGAACGCUGGCGGCGUGCUUAACACAUGCAAGUGGAGCGACGAACCAGGCUUCGGCCUGGGGCAGAGCCGCGAACGGGUGAGUAACACGUGGGUAACCCACCCCGAUGACCGGGACAACCCGAGGAAACUCGGGCUAAUACCGGAUGUACUCCUCUCCCAUGAGGGAGACGAGGAAAGAUAGCUUCGGCCUUCGCAUCGGGACGGGCCCGCGGCGCAUUAGCUUGUUGGUGGGGUAAUGGCCUACCAAGGCGACGAUGCGUAGCUGGUCUGAGAGGACGAUCAGCCACACUGGGACUGAGACACGGCCCAGACUCCUACGGGAGGCAGCAGUGGGGAAUUUUGGACAAUGGGGGCAACCCUGAUCCAGCCAUGCCGCGUGUGUGAAGAAGGCCUCGGUUC
rnacentral:rRNA from 1 species